UACAACAUUGUGCAGCGUAUGAGU
rnacentral:siRNA from 1 species